rnacentral:lncRNA from 1 species
CAAGCAUCAAGUGAAUGUGACAGCCAAUGGAAUGUGACUACUUAUCAUCAGUGAUUUGUCUUAGUAGAGGUCCUUGUGACUCAACAGCAUCUGCUGAUAAAUAUUGCCCAGGGUGUUAUGUGGGGAAUGAAGGAGGGCACUGGUGUCCCACCAUGGCUGCCACAGCCUAGGCUGUGCCUGCUCAUGUGCCACAGCCAGACCCCCCCAGGAAAAGCUAGGUGCACUGUAGGGGCCCAAGUAGUGGAAACGGAAGGGAUUUUAUAGAUUAACUCCACAAAGGACACCGCUGCACGGCUUUCAUGCAAUGCAGGCAGACAGAGGCACAGCAAAGUGAGUUUCCAAGGGUACAAGAAGAGUCACUAAACACAGGGUGCUGGGAGCGUGGGGUGUGUGAGAAGCGCAGGUGGCUCUGGCCAUGGGCCAGGUGAGCACAUGGGACUUUGCAGGGUGCAGCUGAGUUUGCUCUGAUUAUUUCAUCAGGGAGUGGAGGCUGUGGCACCUGAUGCGUUCAUCCCAUGAGAGGGUGGGAUGGCCUUGAACCCAGGAGAGAAUAAAAGGGUGAUUAUCAGCACUCUGGGGGCUUUUUUGUGUCAGUUUGUUUUGAGGGAUUGGCAGGGAGGAGGGCUUUAUGGCAGGGGAUAAUUGGGGCAGGGGACAACAAGCUGGCUGUUGGCAAUGUGGGAUGGCUGUGGAGGUGUCCCUUGGUAAGAAGCUGCCAGGAUCAGGGCUUCUGCUUUAGGCUUGAUACUAAGAUGUCUCUGAUGUCCAGCAAGCCAUGGAAAGCCUGGAGCAGGUAGGAGUAGCACAACCACAAUGAACAGGGGUGGCAGAUCAGACUGCCUCCAGUGCCUGAGGAGGACAGGAAUUAAGCCUACUCACCUAAUGUUGAGCUCUGAAAACAUCCAAGAGCUAACCAGCACUGACAGCUUUAUGAAACCACAGCUCAGUUUACACUGCAAGACAAUUACCAAACUUCUAGGACUUGCUGCCACGGGAGGUGAAGAGAUACAGCAUCAAGAGGUUCAAAAAUGGGCCAGACAACUUUGUGAUCAAUGA